UACGUAGGGUGCGAGCGUUAAUCGGAAUUACUGGGCGUAAAGCGUGCGCAGGCGGUUCGCCAAGUCAGGUGUGAAAUCUCCGAGCUUAACUCGGAAAGGUCAACUGAUACUGUGCGGCUAGAGUGCGGAAGGGGCAACUGGAAUUCUUGGUGUAGCGGUGAAAUGCGUAGAUAUCAAGAGGAACACCUGCGGCGAAGGCGGGUUGCUGGGCCGACACUGACGCUGAUGCGCGAAAGCCAGGGGAGCGAACGGG
rnacentral:rRNA from 1 species